rnacentral:lncRNA from 1 species
CUUAUUAUACAAUCAUAAAAUAGAACUCAAUAAUUACUGUUUAUACAUAUGCUUUAACUUCUUCAGAUCCAUCCGGUUCCACUAAGCCAGGACAAUGUCUUCAUGUGAUUUUGACUGAUCACUGGUAGAAUCAAUUACUUUUGCUUUCCUCUUCUUUGUUGAACUAGAUUCGUCUUUUGUAUUUGACUUUGUGAUAAUUUCA